UGGGGAAUCUUGGACAAUGGGGGCAACCCUGAUCCAGCCAUGCCGCGUGAGUGAUGAAGGCCUUAGGGUCGUAAAGCUCUUUCGCCUGUGAAGAUAAUGACGGUAGCAGGUAAAGAAACCCCGGCUAACUCCGUGCCAGCAGCCGCGGUAAUACGGAGGGGGUUAGCGUUGUUCGGAAUUACUGGGCGUAAAGCGCACGUAGGCGGACCAGAAAGUUGGGGGUGAAAUCCCGGGGGCUCAACCCCGGAACUGCCUCCAAAACUAUUGGUCUAGAGUUCGAGAGAGGUGAGUGGAAUUCCAAGUGUAGAGGUGAAAUUCGUAGAUAUUUGGAGGAACACCAGUGGCGAAGGCGGCUCACUGGCUCGAUACUGACGCUGAGGUGCGAAAGUGUGGGGAGCAAACAGGAUUAGAUACCCUGGUAGUCCACACCGUAAAACGAUGAAUGCCAGUCGUCGGGUAGCAUGCUAUUCGGUGACACACCUAACGGAUUAAGCAUUCCGCCUGGGGAGUACGGUCGCAAGAUUAAAACUCAAAUGAAUU
rnacentral:rRNA from 1 species